AGCCCUGAGGUGUAUAUCAUAACAGAUUGCAAAUCUGGAGAAGCAAAUUGACGUUUGCCGGGGCUU
rnacentral:tRNA from 1 species